ACGGGUGAAGUAACACGUAUAGUAAUCUCCGACCCCUAACGUGGGGGAUAGCCCUUCGAAAGGAGGAUUAAUACCCCAUAACAUCCCGACACGGCAUCGUGUUGGGAUUAAAACCCCGGUGGUUAGGGAUGAACAUGCGUCCUAUUAGCUAGUUGGUAAGGUAAUGGCUUACCAAGGCAACGAUAGGUAGCUGGUCUGAGAGGAUGAUCAGUCACACGGGCACUGAGACACGGGCCCG
rnacentral:rRNA from 1 species